rnacentral:rRNA from 1 species
ACCUACGGGGCGCAGCAGUGAGGAAUAUUGGUCAAUGGGCGAGAGCCUGAACCAGCCAAGUCGCGUGAGGGAAGACGGUCCUAUGGAUUGUAAACCUCUUUUGCCGGGGAGCAAAAAGCGGUACGUGUACCGCAUCGAGAGUACCCGGAGAAAAAGCAUCGGCUAACUCCGUGCCAGCAGCCGCGGUAAUACGGAGGAUGCGAGCGUUAUCCGGAUUUAUUGGGUUUAAAGGGUGCGUAGGCGGUCCGUUAAGUCAGCGGUAAAAUUGCGGGGCUCAACCCUGUCGAGCCGUUGAAACUGGCAGA